rnacentral:rRNA from 1 species
AUGAGUCGUUCUGAUGGCAUCAACAUCCCCGAUGGAAAGUUCUACCUAGGAGAUGCUGGCUGUCGGCCAGGUAUUCUUCCACCCUUCAGGAAAACCAGGUACCGUUUCAACGACUUCGCUGGUAGGAACUAUCCUAGGACUCCAGAGGAGUUGUUCAAUCUCGAACACUCCAGCCUUAGAGUUACUAUUGAGAGGGCCUUUGUAGCUCUAAAGAACAAGUUUAAGAUGCUAAAUCAGAAGCCAUUCCACAUUUCCCCCACUCAGGUUAAGCUUGUUCUUACUUGUUGCAUUCUGAAUAACUGGAUCCUGCAAUGGGGUGUUGAUGAACUGGUGCCUGAGGAGGAAGCUGUGAUGCAUGACGAUGUUGUCAGUUCCCUCAUGCAGCUAACGUAUAUAUGGGCAACCAAACUAUAUGCAGACGGUGGUUUAUAG